rnacentral:rRNA from 1 species
UACAGAGGUCUCAAGCGUUGUUCGGAUUCAUUGGGCGUAAAGGGUGUGUAGGUGGCGCCGUAAGUCGGGUGUGAAAUUUCGGAGCUUAACUCCGAAACUGCAUUCGAUACUGCGGUGCUUGAGGACUGGAGAGGAGACUGGAAUUCAUGGUGCAGCAGUGAAAAUGCGUAGAGAUCAUGAGGAAGACCAGUGGCGAAGGCGGGUCUCUGGACAGUUCCUGACACUGAGACACGAAGGCCAGGGGAGCAAACGGG